rnacentral:misc_RNA from 1 species
AAGUCGUAACAAGGUAACCGUAGGUGAACCUGCGGUUGGAUCAUUAACAAUUAUUAUUGAAUCCUCCCCCCUCCCCUUCAUCGGGGCCGGGCGGUAGGUUCUCUAACACUUGUGUGCACUGUUUAUUGUCUCUCGGCGUUCGAGGGUUGGGGUGUUUAGGAGCUUCUAGCUCUUGGGCGUCCCUUGGGCUUUUUUUCUAAACGGCCUUGACCUACCUCCGAGCGUCAACUUAAACUUGAUUUUAUUUAUACUAUAAGCCUUUAAUUUUAAAUUUAUUAAUUUGAAAACAACUUUUAACAACGGAUCUCUAGGCUCUCA